rnacentral:snoRNA from 1 species
CCCUGGCAAUGGGCAAAGAGACACCUUGUUGAUGGCAUUGCUCUUAUAUCCGUCAGGGGCAGAGGCAUGUUCGUCCUAGCUUGAUGUCUGGCUUGGUGGUCAAAACUGCUUUAUGCCUAGGACACAUAA